rnacentral:rRNA from 1 species
CAUUGAUGAGAUAAGUAUCGAUAUCAAUGUGGAAUCUAUCGUCAAGUGACUAAAGGGAUUGUUAGGGAUGACUAGCAAACGUAUCAGAAGAGAAGUGGAAACACUAAAUGGACUAAACAUGUCCGAUCUCAAGGGAAACCAUAUAGCACAUAUGUGUAUGACUACGGACUGAACCGAAACAUCGUAGUAAGUCUAGGAAAGGAAAUCAACCGAGACCCUGUGAGUAGCGGCGAGCGAACGCAGGAUAGCCUAGUAAUAGUGAUUAGUAGAUCCAAUACUCUGGAAUGGGUAGAAGCAUAGUAAUAUGUACCAUAGAAGGUUAUAGUCCUGUAGAACUACUACUCUAUUACAACUAGCUAAGUACCUUAAUUUUGUAUAAAGUUCUGGCUUCUUAGUGAGUAGGGCGGCAUCAAACCUGCCCGAAUAAGGGUGCACCAUCAUCCAAGGCUAAGUAUGAUACGUUUAGCGAUAGUGAAUAGUACUGUGAAGGAAAGUUUAAAAGAAAGUCGAUGACUAGUGAAACAGAGCCUGAACUAGCAAUCCUAUAAGCAGACAGAGCAUUAAUGUGUGAUGUCGUACCUUUUGCAUAAUGGGUCAGCAAGUUUGUGUUACAGGUAAGGUGAAAGCCCUAGCGAAAGCGACUAUUUGUAACUUAAGUUAUGAAUGGGUUGAAUCUGUAGUACAAGACCCGAAACAUCUUGAUCUAUCCAUGGGCAGGUAUAUAGGACCGAACCAGUGUACGUUGCAUAGUACUUGGAUGACCUGUGGAUAGGAGUGAAAUGCUAAUCUAAAGAUGUGAUAGCUGGUUCUCUGCGAAAUGCAUUGCAGUGCAGCGUCAAUGUUAGCUUAUGGUAGGUACAGCACUGAUUGACAUACGGUUUUACCGUUGACUAGGGGGGCGUAACAGCUCUAUCUAGGUCAGUUAACCUCGGAAUGACUAUAAGUGAUCAUUGGCAGUGAGUCCUAGGGUGAUAAGGUCUUAGGACGAGAGGGAAACAGCCCAAACAGUGUGUUAAGGUCCCAAAGAUAUUGACAAGUGAAAUUAAGGAAGUGCAUUGCUUUAGACAGCCAUGAUGUGGGAUUGGAAGCGUCCAUCAUUUAAAGAAAGCGUAACAGCUCAGUGGUCUAUCUCUAGAGUAAUCUAGAAUGGCAGUGUGCGCCGAAGAUAUACCGGGUCUAAUCAAUACACCAAUACCACUGUCUAGUAUCUAUAUUCAAUAUCGAUACUAAGAGGUAGCAGAGCGUCCAGUACCAAUGAAGAGCAGUAUGUUAUUGUUUGGAGGUCACUGGAGUGAGGAUGCUGGCAUGAGUAGCAAGAAUGGAUGUUAAAUCAUCCACACCGAAAGAGGAAGGGUUCUGAGGGCAAGUUACACUGCCUCAGGUUAUAAGCGGUGUCUAAGGAGUUAGCCAAUGCGAAACUCCGAUGAUUAUAUUGCAGAACGGGCUCAUAACUGAGAUCCAGGAAAAGAAUGCAAUUUUACUACCGUACCUUAAACCGACACAGGUCCUCGGGUAGAGUAUACUAAGGUGACGAGAUAACCAAGUUUAAGGAACUCGGCAAACUGAUCUCGUACGUUCGACAAUAAGAGAUGCCUUUGUACUAUUUAGUAUGAGGGUGGCACAGAAUCAGGGAGUGCGACUGUUUACUCAAAACACAGCAGCCUGCUAACACUAACGUGGUCGUAUAGGUUGUGAUUCCUGUCCGGUGUCUCGCGAUAAAGUUAUGGUGUGUAUGGCUUACCAUGUACAUUGAACUAGAAGUCGAGAUAAACGACGGUCUUAACUAUAAGGAUCCUAAGGUAGCAAAAUGCCACUCAGAGACUUAGUAUGACACAUAUGUAACCCAUAUGAUUCUAAAGUCCUGGAGAGAGACAAGUGAUCAACACACUCUCUCCUGAGCGAUGCUCCUACUGUCUUAAACUUGGGCUCGGUGAAAUUGAAUUAGCCGUGCAGAUGCGGUUUACCACCAGAUAGACGGGAAGACCCUAUGCAACUUUACUAUAGCUAGGCAUUGUACUAGGCCAUCACUUGUCACAGGUAUGAGGUAGCUGAUAAGGCGUAAGUGAGAGACCUCAACAAGUCAUGGUCAGACUUACCUUAGUAUGAAACUAAGGGACAUUGCCUAGUGGGUAGUUUUACUGGGACGGUACCCUCCAAGAAAGCAUCGGAGGGGUCCAAUAGGUACACAUAGCUUAGCCGGAGACUAAGUGGCUAUGAAGAGCCAAUAACAGCAUAAUGGCAAAAGUGUGCUAAACUGUAAGACUGACAGGUCAAUCAGGUACGUAAGUAGGGCAUAGUGAACCGAUAGUAUGUUAUGGUACAGCUAUCGUUCAUCGGAUAAGUUACGCUAGGGAUAACAGGCUGAUAGCGCGAAAGAGUUCAUAUCGUAAGCGCUGUUUGGCACCUCGAUGUCGACUCAUCACAUCCUCCCGGUGUAUCAGCUGGGAAGGGUUCAACUGUUCGUUGAUUAAAGUGGUACGUGAGUUGGGUUUAAUACGACGUGAGUCAGUAUAGUCCCUAUCUUCUGGUGGGACAUAUAGGCGAAGAAGAACAUCUGGUUAGUACGAAAGGACCAUCAGGUGCGCACCUCUGGUGUAUCUGCUAUAGUUCAUUGACUGUACUGCAGAGUAGCUACGUGCGUUAAGGAUAAGACCUGAAAGCAUAUAAGGUCGAAGCUGCUCUUUGGAGACUAAACAGCAACGGGAUGUAGACCACGUCCUUGAUAGGUCACAUGUGUAAGCUCCGUUAAGGAGUGAGCUGAGUGAUACUAAUGUGUUGCAUGACUUGACGAUACCAC